CCACCAUGCCUGGCUAAUUGUGUCAUCAUUCGCUAGCAGUGUGACCUUGUGUAGGUCACUACCCCUCUCUGAUUUCCUCAGGAAAAGAGAAUAAUGAUAAAAAAAAUCAAAAUUAAUUAACACUACUAUCUUAUUUUCAAUGUGUCAGGCAUUAUUCCAAGUACUUUAUAUAAAUGACCUCAUUCAAUCAUUGUAAUAACCAUAUGAAAUAAUUAUUAUUGUUUAGUUCCUAUGUGAUGUGUAAACUGAGACCACACACGUAGUUAGUAGCAGAGCUGGGAUCCAGGAGGGGCUGUCUCUGCAGCUGCCUUUCACAUUUAUGUUAUGCUGUGUCUCAGGAAUGCACAUGGAGUCUAAAAAAUAAUGUCUGCUUCACUGCAUAAAGAAAAAAUGUGAUGAUGCUUGUGUGUGCCCAGCUUUGAGCUUGGCACAUAAUAGAUGCUCAUGAAAUCUUAUUUGCUUUUUCCUCCCUCGGUCUCUUUCCUUCUUCUCCCCUAGGUGAGCACACAAGCGGGGUUGCAACAAGGAACUGGCAACUGUGUCUGAGGAAGGCUGGACUGCAGAUUCCAAUCUAUAUCCGUAACAUGAAUUCUGUAAGAAAGAAGAGGCAACAAGACUCUGUCCACUGAAAAAGCCUUGAUGAAAUAACAACCCAGGAGCAGUGAGACCACCUGGCACCCAGGUCUGGAUUUCUAAACACUGUUACCCACCAAGAGGAACUAAAAUUUUCUGCAGAAAUGGCUGACUCCAUAUCCAUGGAAAUGAAGCUCCAAGUGAAGCCCAGGAUGUCUUACAGUCCCAAGAAGGAGGGAGAGGCUUAAAAACUCCUGGGGUCACAUGGAAAGGAUGCGAAACUGACUUGAGGGAUCCACGUGGCGAUGUCUGGGACUACUGAGCAUCAAUAAGAAUGACUGUAGUUAAUGAAAAUACAUUAAACAAAUAGAAAAUU